GAGCCGGGGCUGCGGCGGCGCCUCCUCGUACUGCUCCAGGGAUGAAGGAUCGGCCCUGCGUCUGCCUCGCGCGGGCCGGGAUGAGGCCGGGCGAGGCGCCUGCCCCACCCUGCAGGGAGGGAGCUCGAGCUUUGGAGCUGGGUGAUCUCCAGGGAUCACGGAAACAGAGGAAGCCUUAAACUUCAGCAAAGCCAAGUGGCUGUAAGGGGCUUCACAUCUCUGCAGAAUGUUAUAUGAACAUUUCUUUGGCACUGGGAUCAAAAGCAGCUGAAAAUGGAAAGUGAUGGUGGUAUUGAGCACGCUGGCAGGGGAAUGAAAAGUUGAUUUACUAAAAGCUGGUGCAGAACACGCUGAUCUUUCUAUCUACAUUGGUGAACUUUUAUCAACCCCUAAGUGUAUUUUCUUUCUCCUGUAAUUUCUAGGAAAUAUAAAAUUUCACUGAAAUAGUCAAGUGAUUUUACUUGCAUUCACUUCUGGAAAAAUAUUGGUGUAAUAUAUAAUAUUUAGGGACAGAAAUAUAAUUGGCAGUCUCCCAUGAAAUAGCCGGUUCCUCAUGAAAAAAUGUGGGGAACUGGCUAUUUUCAACAAGCUGGCAAAGAGCUGGCAAAAAGCUGUCUCCUCAAAGGGUUGGGGGAGGGAGGAAGGGAGCAAAGAGGGGAAAAAAAAGGCAGACUGCCCAUCUCCUGAAGUGGAGGGGGGGGCGGUGGCAGGGGAGAGAGAGGUGGGAAAAGUUCCCAUCUCUCUUUCUCCAGAAGAGGAUGGAGGGAUCAGGGAAAAGCCCAUCAAAGGUCCUCUUCUCCUGAAGGGGAGCUGAGAGGCACAAUGACAGCCAGAGCAGAGCGGAGCAAAUCAGAGGCUGAGCCCCUGAUGUCAGCUGUUGAUUUUCCUCUUGAAUAAAAUUUACAGUUUGUAUUCUUCAAAAAUCAUUGCCUCCAUUCCUUUAUUUUAGCUAGGUAGUCAGCUUCAUACUUCUGUUGAGUACAGGAACUAUUUAAUUGCCACACUUAAACUGGUGGUUUAUUUAGUAAUUAUUGCCCUGGGUCCCUUGAAGAGGGUGACAAUUACUGAAUUAACAAACCAGGCAUCUCCAGCUAGGGUUUUUAAUCCAUGCCUGGGAGGGGUGGGACUUGCAGAACCCCUCAGCCAAUCAGAAGUGUGGGGGGCAGCUUUGCUCCUCCUUCAAAAUGGCAGCCCCAACAGUUAUAUGGCUGCGAAACUGCGGGUCCCAGCCAUGUUACAGCCAUGUAAUUGGGCACUGGGGCCUGUGAAUUUUGAAGUUCCCUAAUAAUAUUAGUUAGUGGAAAACAAAAAGUAUAUUUGAUGCCACAUCACAGCUAGACAUGCACUUAUCUCAGACAGUAUGAGUCAUUUCUAAGCAGGUAUGACAAGGUAAAGUGAAAUAUGCCACCUGAAAGUAAACACCCCUCUCUUCCAGCAUGAGUCUCUUAUGUUCUUUGCAGUCAGUAAAACGUAUCAUUCCUAUCCUAUGUAUCAUUAAGUACAUGUAUGGCAUGACUCAUUCUUGCUGUCUACCUUUAUGACAAUGGAAAUAAGAGUUGAAAUUGUCUAAACAAAGGAUAAAAGCUCUAAGACUAGAAAGCUAGCCAUAUUUGACAUUAUUAAAAAGUUUGUCCAGAGAAUCUACUGCAUCAGUUGUAAAGAUAUGUGCACAGAUGUAUGGGUUGCUAUUUUUUGAGGUUUUGUGAUUCAUGCAGAGAAUCAUGCAGGUUCUAUUUUAAGGAGGUAUGACGCAUCCAAAUAACAAACAAGAUGGCAGUGUAAAUAAUAUUAAUUAUUCGUGUAAAUCACUUCAAUUAAAUGUUAUUAACUCAUGUGAGUAAGCACAGUGAAUUAUUUCAUCAGAGAUUCCAGAAAGCCACAUUGUCAAGAUAAAGAGCUCAUUCUUAUUUUUAGCUAGACCUCACCCAAGUAUCUAAUUAUAGUGCCUGAAAUUAAAUCUGGGCACGGUUGUUUAUACCAACAUUAGUUCCCAGUUAAAAAUCCAAAUGUUUGAAUAGUAGCUAUUAGGUUAUUAUAUGGAUUGUAAUUAUAUGCAUGGAAAUUUGCUUCUGUAAUUCUGACACUGGUAUUGGAAACCUUUUAACAUUUAGACCUAUAGUUGAGUUUUAUAAAAUAAAUCUUUACAUACUUAACCUCAUUUAAAAAAUCCAAAAACCUAACUUACUUGGACUGCACAUGCCAGUUUGUGUAGGUGGAUUAAGUUUGGGUCAUAGAGACUGGGGGUACGGAUCUAAUAUAGCAAGGACAGUUACAAGUUUGGUCCCUGGUCUGAGUAGAAGGAGUUUAUGGAAAAAAAUGAAGAAAAAAUGAUAUUUCAUUUUUAAGGAUUUGUCAUAUGCAGUGUACAAGAAGAGAAUUGUUUAAGUGCAGGCAAGUAAAUAUUUACAUUAAAAAGAUAAUAUAUUUUAUAGCAUGCAUUCUGCAAUCAUGCACCUAUUUUUACUGUGUUAAUGUUUUGAAGCUGAAAUUUUGCCGAUUUAAUUUUUAUUUCUUAAUAAGAAAAUCUUCAUUCUUAAUAUUAUAUCAACACUUAAUUCUUAAUAUAUUAAGCUGCAUACAGAUCACUUCCUCUAAAAAUUAGGAAUUUCAAGUUUAAUUAAUUGCUAAAAAAUAGUAGAGUGCCUGUCAGAUUUGAUGUGUUUAAUGUCUUUUCUUUGGAUGUAAUACCCACCUUUUAAGGUCAGCUUGUGUCCUACGUUGUGUUCUGUUGUAAGUAAUAAUAUUUUCUUAGAGGAAACAUUUCAAAUGCUACAUGAAUUGCCACCAAGGAUCAUGUGUCCUUUAAUUGUGACUCACUGAAGAAGAAAA